rnacentral:rRNA from 1 species
ACUCCUACGGGAGGCAGCAGUGGGGAAUCUUGCGCAAUGGGCGGAAGCCUGACGCAGCAACGCCGCGUGAGGGAUGACGGCCUUCGGGUUGUAAACCUCUUUCGCGAUCGACGAAGGCCCGUCUUGUGGGCGGGUUGAACGGUACGGUCGAGAAGAAGCACCGGCCAACUAAGUUGCCAGCAGCCGCGGUAAUACGUAGGGUGCGAGCGUUGUCCGGAAUUAUUGGGCGUAAAGAGCUCGUAGGCGGUGUGUCACGUCGGCCGUGAAAACCUGGGGCUUAACUCUGGGCGUGCGGUCGAUACGGGCAUCACUAGAGUUCGGCAGGGGAGACUGGAAUUCCUGGUGUAGCGG